AGGGACUUGCAGCUAAGGUUUACCUUAGAUCUUGGAGAAGACUUGAGACUUGGACUUUUCAGCAAUGCUGAAACUGUUAGGACUUUGGAAACUCUUGGGGAUGGACCAAACGUCUUUUGCAUAAAGGCUUGCAGGUUGUGGUGGUCAUAAGUGGCCGUUCCACCUUACCAUCCUGUCUUGGAGCCAUCUGAGUGAAACCUCCAAACUGUCUUGUGCCUGGGCCAGAGACUGAGAAAUAAUUAGCUUCUACCAGAAGACAGGAGCAGCUUGAGAACUCACCCUUACACCUCUUUGAACUCCAAGAAAUGAGACGCAUCAUGAACUUGAAGAUGCCUAAGUCAUUGGACAUGCUGUCUUUGUAAUGUGAGCUUACAAGGAGCUGCAAACACUUUUGAGACGUUUACCUCUACAAGCGACACUCCGGUAUGCUGCUUGGAGAACUAGAGUCUGAUGAGUCCCAGAACAAUUUGUAGAAGUCAUAACACGGACUUCUGCCAGAAUAGUAUUCCACUCACAGCUUGAAGUUACAAAGAAUGUUUGCAUGUCAUUAUCAGGGUCUUCAAGAAUCUGAAAUUGUUCACAAUGGUAAGAUCAUAAAAUCUACAUCAGAAAAAAAGUAGGUGUUAAAGUCCUAACCCCAAAAUUCUCCAUGUUGAUGCAGGCAAAGUGGUUUUAUUAGGGAAAGAGCUGAUUCAGGAAAAACAGGAACAACAAGCCAAGGUCAUUUCCCAAUAAGAAUUGUUGUCCUGGGUUCCUACUUACCCAUAGUCUGGCUCUGCGUUUUCAUGUGACAUUUUCUACCAAUACAAAAUAGAUUUAACUACAACUGGAACUCUCAAUCUGAUGUUUUCUACUCAUUUAAGCCCUGGAUUGUGACCCUUGUUCCAUUUAGCUCCUGGGAAUUCUGUUGUAGCCCUGACACAUGAUAUCGUUUUAUCUGGAUUGAUACCUGGCUGCUAUCCUAGUUGGUGGAACUUGGGCAGGUUUUCACUGACUCUGCUCCACACCUAGUGUAGGAGGAGAUGCAAAUGUGCUUGCACAUAGUCCAGGUGCUCAGUUCAUGUAGGAAGACGUUCCCUUAUGCAACCCAUAGAAUCCUCCUCUCUACCCACAUUGAUGAGGGCUGGGAAUCACCCAGUGAAGGAGUCAGCCAUUCUCAGGCCAAAGAUUGAAAUGAAUUCUCCUCUGUGAACAGGAUGGCUUCUAGGAAGCCCAGGAGAGAGUGAGACAGGAGAACUUUGCAUGCGGUGAGCAGAAUCCGGGCUGCUGAGUGUCAGAAGGAGCAUCCAUGCCAAGGCAGCCUGAGAUGGCACUGAUGCAGGGUUACAGAGCUUGUGACUUAGGACCAGUUUCAGGAACAAUAAAAUACGUGAAAAGUGCAUCAGGAUUGUUUUUUCUAUAAGCAUUCAAUAAAUGGCACUGUGGGACAAAUAUUUAUAGUAAUACAGGUCUACAUAUCUGCUCUACCUACAUAUUUGUGAUUGGGCUCCUUAGGAAAGCCUACACUUUUUUUCUGUGUUUCGGCUUCCCACAUUGGGACACAGGUUAUUGAACAUCAAGAUUAAAACUAAUAUUUUGGGGCUUGAUUUCCUGGGUUUAAAUUUCAGUCCUGCCAUUC